ACCAGGUGUGAUGGCAUGCACCUGUAAUCCAGCUACUUGAGAGUCUAAGGUGGGAGGAUCAUUUGGGCCCAGGAGUUCAAGACCAGCCUGGGCAACACAAUGAGAUAGU
rnacentral:sRNA from 1 species